rnacentral:tRNA from 1 species
GCUUUUGUGGUUGAAUAACAACGGUGGUUUUUCAAAUCAUUGGUCCUGGUUAAACCCCAGGCUGAAGCU